CCUACGGGUGGCAGCAGUGAGGAAUAUUGGUCAAUGGCCGGAAGGCUGAACCAGCCAAGCCGCGUGAAGGACGAAGGUGCCAAGCAUUGUAAACUUCUUUUGUCAAGGGACAAAAUCAGGCUCGAGAGCCUGACCGAGGGUACUUGAAGAACAAGCAUCGGCUACCUCCGUGCCAGCAGCCGCGGUAAUACGGAGGAUGCGAGCGUUAUCCGGAUUUAUUGGGUUUAAAGGGUGCGUAGGCGGGCUGGUAAGUCAGCGGUACAAGCCAGGGGCUCAACCCCGGCGAGCCGUUGAAACUGGCUGUCGUGAGUGGUCGAGAGGUAUGCGGAAUGCGCAGUGUAGCGGCGAAAUGCUUAGAUAUUGCGCAGAACUCCGAUUGCGAAGGCAGCAUACCGGCGGCGAUCUGACGCUGAGGCACGAAAGCGUGGGUAUCGAACAGGAUUAGAUACCCGUGUAGUC
rnacentral:rRNA from 1 species